UACAGAGGUCUCAAGCGUUGUUCGGAUUCAUUGGGCGUAAAGGGUGCGUAGGUGGCGCGGUAAGUCGGGUGUGAAAUUUCGGAGCUUAACUCCGAAACUGCAUUCGAUACUGCCGUGCUUGAGGACUGGAGAGGAGACUGGAAUUUACGGUGUAGCAGUGAAAUGCGUAGAUAUCGGGAGGAACACCUGUGGCGAAAGCGGCUCACUGGACCACAACUGACGCUGAUGCGCGAAAGCUAGGGGAGCAAACAGG
rnacentral:rRNA from 1 species